AAUCAACGCUGGCGGCGUGCCUAACACAUGCAAGUCGCACGAGAAAGGGGAGCAAUCCCUGAGUAAAGUGGCGCACGGGUGAGUAACACGUGAAUCAUCUACCUCCGAGUGGGGAAUAACUGAGAGAAAUCUUAGCUAAUACCGCAUAACACUUACGAGUCAAAGCAGCAAUGCGCUUGGAGAGGAGUUCGCGGCCGAUUAGUUAGUUGGCGGGGUAANGGCCCACCAAGACGAUGAUCGGUAUCCGGCCUGAGAGGGCGGCACGGACACACUGGAACUAGAAACACGGUCCAGACUCCUACGGGAGGGCAGCAGUGGGGAAG
rnacentral:rRNA from 1 species